rnacentral:ncRNA from 2 species
UAGCAGCUUCAGGGUACUGUGCAAUUCAGAACCGGCAGUGAACGGCGAUAUGCCGUAGUCUGCGAGCCAGUGUGGAACUGGUUGAUUCGGUGAGAUUCCGAAACCGACGGUAAAGUCCGGAUGAGAGAAGCCACGC